CGUCUAUUUGUCGUACAAAAAUCCCUCACGUGACCUGAUCCUAGGUGCCUAAAGACAGCAUCGUUUAGGGAUUUUUGAGAAGGCGCGAUGCUGGCGCCGAGCGACGCCGUGGCGUGUUCGUCCUCGGCGUGAUCGUUAUCUGGACCGCGCGUUGUUCAACAUUGCUCAUGUGACUGUGCGUGCGUUGCUUGUGUGUUGGUUGUAGGUUCUGUGUUACUUGGCGGAAAGCCGUGAGUAGUGGCGGUGCGGCAAUGCGGCUUUGGCCUCGAUGAGCUCUGGCACUACAGAAUCUGCGUUGUGUGACCCGUGCUUUCUUGAGAACCCGGCGGUGGUGACAAUUGAAAUAUCCAAGUGGCCUAGCGCCUCGGCAGCGAAGUUCUGCGAACCGCGAUGUGGCGUCGCCGUGUCCGACUUUGCUUAACGGACAUCGAGGGAUGUGCUGCUCGCUGCAAGUCAUGUAAAUGCUACUGCGUCGACCGCCCACUGUUCAGCACUGAAUGUGUGUUUGGUGUGCUGUGCUUGAAACAAGUGGUGCCGCCGUUCAGCGGGGGUGGCGGAGGAGCAGAGUGGCUUAGGGUUUGCCGGUUCACAGACAUGUCCUCCCGUCUUGGUCUCAUUAGCGGCUGUCGCGGGAUUGUGGUGUGCUAGCUCCUUGCCUAGUAUCAAGUUUACGACGCUAACACACAGCAUGUUCACGUUUUUCCGCGCUAUAUGUCAUUUGCAUGACGGCCGAGUUGAAAACGAGACAUAUAGUGUUCUUUGCGUUUGUGUGUUGUAAAUUACUUUCUAUUGUGGAAGUUCUUGGAGUCUUAUUACGCAAGGAGUGCGAACGUAAACAUAAACACAUAUGUGUGUGUCUGAAAUGUUGAAUUACCCAUAAUACCCUUUACAACUGAUAAGUGAGCUACACGGCCUGUGUGAAUCAGCUACCGUAUGUUGCGACGCUCUUUCGUGUGGUAUACUGAUGCAUGGUGCGCGUUUAUUUCUGUACUGUUGUAAAAACCAUUUGUUUAUUCACUCAAUACAAAUGUACGGCUUCGUCACCGCAGUACAUUUUAGUUACGCGGUGAAGCAUACUAAAUGUGGGAGGGGGCCACUAUCAGCCAGCAUAGUAUGUCCACUUAGGCGACCUGAGAGGCGGCGGGUGCGCGAGUGUAUAAUUUAAGACCUCUUAUUAUGUCCAGUGACAGUGGCCCCUUUUCACUUUUAGUAUGCUUCACCGCAGUACAUUGCUUAGGCUUCACCGCGAAAUAAUAGUGUAUUACGAGAAAGAUAAUCGUAAAAAGCCUAAUUAUGCAGCGUUUCUUUUGUAGCUUGCUACACUGCAAUACAGGGGUGUAAAUAAGCAUCGUGCAGUAAAGCAUACUAAGAGUGGAAAGGGCACAUAGGUUUACACUGUGCUCAUUACUUUCAAUUGUGACAUAAUUUGCAAGUGCAAACAAGGACGGCAGGGACACGACACCACAAUGUGCAUUGCGGUGUCUCCCUUCCGUCCUUGUUUGCUGGCGCUAAAUAUGCUCUCAUAAUUUAAUCCAUUUUUUUAAAAUUUCGCUUUGAAUGUCAUAUCCACUUACAACAAAUCUAGAGAAUGACUUCAAUUUAGAGAUAUGCAUUCCCAGCAUUUGCGAUGAAAUGCAUUGGUGUUCCGUAAUUUACUUUCCUUCUAUAUAUAAAAUGGGUUUUCUUAAAAAGCGGAACAACAGGGCAUUUUUAUUUUAAGUGUGACAGCGCGCAUCUCAGAACUGCUGCUAGCUUCAAAAUUUGCUUGAAGUGUAUGUGUCUAGUGAAAUCUCUUGCUUCAGUUCGUGUAUUGCACUAUGUGCGCUAAAGUAGUUAGUUCGAAAGGUGAUUAUGGAACUUUUAGUAACGAGUUAGUUAUCCAUUUUGAAUUUCAGUGUAAGUAACGUCCGCGUCUUCGGCUAAUCGUAGGGCCAUACUUUAUCACAAGACAUCCGGUAUUUUUGUCUGAUUACAGGCUGCUAUGGUGUUGGGCUGCGAAGCACGAGGUAGCGGAAUCGAAUCCUGGCCACGGCGGCCGCAUUUCGACAGGGGCAAAAUGCGAAAACACCCGUGUACUUAGAUUUUGGUGCACAUUAAAGAACCUAGCUCAGGUGGUCCAGAUUCCCGGAGCCUCCACUAUGGUGUGCCUCAAUCGGAUUGUGGUUUUGGCACGUAAAACCCCAUAAUUAAAUUUUUAUAAAUUACAGGCUUGCCAUGUACUUGAAUGGAGCAUUUAUACCAAAGGUAAUGUGUGAAGGGCACGUUUAACGUGCCCCAUUGUAACAUGUGGCUGCACCGAGCUGACAAACGGUUCGUUGCAUUUCUCAAUUAGCAUCGCUUCCGUCUGAAAGGGCUUUUCUCUCUCUCUCUUUUUAAAUGCGUGAGGAUUUCGCUGCUUACACAACGAGAAAAAACUGUCCGUCCGUCCAAUAAGACGAUCGCUUUCACGAAAGGGCCCGCAGCAAUGGGCAAAUUCACCUUCGUGCUGCCUCUCGCUUCAAUGUAAACUGAGCGGCAAGAAUACAGCGCUUACGAAGCUCAACUUGCCGCCAUCGCAGAUCGCUUACAAGAUUAGGGCCCGUGCAUCUCCCUUCAACGCGAGACUGUCUCCAUCGCAGGUUGCUUUCGAGGAAAGGACUGCGCGAUACGCAGCUGCUGCUAGACUAUGGUUCGAUGCGGAUGGAUAAGGCGCUAAAGAGCGAUAACCGCUUAUAAUGAUCGGAACAUAAUCAGUGUGCCUGCCACAUCUGCCGCCGCCACCUGUAGCAGUUUUCUGCCAUCAUGAUUCACCUUGCGCCGCCGUUAGCAGCAGUUCGCGUAGCCGCAUCGCUGUCGUUAGGAUCAGGAUUCAUAGCAUCACAUAAUGGCACAGGGCUGCCUGGAGAUAAGUGGCACAAUGCUUACGCGUACCUCUACCAUUCCCAGAGGAGUCUCUGCGUGACUUUUUUUUCCGGAUGGGGGGCUCUGGUUGCAGUUUUUGAGCCGUCCAACCUCUGCUGACAAAAUAUCCGGCAUGCAAGCAGUUUUCAAGAUGCUCAAUUAGUACACAUGUGUGGAUGACUUUGGCUAUUAGCGACUUUGCUAUACUGUCCCGAGCACCCGUGUAAGGCACAGGUUCUCAGAAUCCACAUGCCAGUCAAAUUGAAACCUUGCGAUUGUGACGAACAAUGCCAGAAACAUUGCAUAUUUAAUUCCAUCAUCAGCAGAGUCACUGAUUCUCAUAAAUCAUGAUACGGAAUAGUGUUUUGUGCUUUAAAGGAAUCAUUAACCCACGGAUAAUGUAUAAUGUAAUGCUAUAAGAUAUGGUCAUAUCUUAUAGCAUUAAAACACCUUGUACUAUGACGUCAGAAUAAUACAUACUGUACGGUUUAGCCGUCGCGAGAUAGAAAUUGCGAUACAUGCCCCGUCAUCUUAUGGACGGGCAUUUCUUUUAUCUGUGAAUUUUGCAGAGGUGCACACGUACACGUACAGCUCGCCCCCAUCGUACGGCCCUUCCUUGUACCCGUGUGGGUUCGCUGGUUAAAGAAAUUCCACCAGGCCAGCAACACGUUUCCACACUGUUGUUAAUUGCUGCUUCGUUUCUUGUUUGCCUUAUUUUAUCAGCUCUUCAUGGUAUGGCCGGUGAAGUGUUGCUCUCCUACAGCAAUAGCAUAUAUAUAUAAUAACGAGAUCUGGACAGAAAUUGCAAUCUUAAGGUUGUUGCAAACGUUUAGCAUAGCGCUAUGCAUUGUUCUAUACCUGAAUGCAGCUUUUUACGCACAAGAUGACAAAUAAGAGGCUAAGGCCCACAAGCGCGGACUUACAACAGUGUGUUAUUUUGAAGAAAAUGACCACAUAUAUAGCAGAAACUGCAACGCAUCACAUGUGCGCCGCCUGCACAAAAUUCCUAUCUCUAUGCAAGAAGGAUAACUCCUUGCUGGAAAGGGCCUCAACGAGUAUUUUAGUACAAGGGUUAGUAUUGUGCUACCUGUGCCAUAGACAAUUUAAAAAUUUGGUUCAGUUAAGAAAGUGUCAUGUAGAAUGACAACACACACACAGUGGUGGUUUUGCUGCUACAAUUGCUCGAAUCUGCUACAUUCCAUUAAAGCUUCUCCAGGAUGAGCAGCGCUGCGCAAUCUCUGAGGCUACGGCGAAGAUGAGUUGUGGUCGGUGCCAGAUGGCGGUCGCUACCACCUAAUGCAAAGAGUGUCGUGACAUCUGCCAUUCACAAGGCUAAAUGAGCUGUAUAGUCACUGAGCUAAUCUAAUCCAGUACCACGUACCAGCUAGUACGUGCUCGCGCAUUAUGAAGGAAGGAACCUCCAUGUCGCGCAUACCUGCAUGACCAUACAGUUUCUCACUACAUUACCUAGAGGGAAAUCUGGCGCUGCUGUGCUGUCGUAUGCGUGGGAAUGCCAAUAUAUUUUGACUUCGCAUUGGCAUUGUUCUCGGAGAGCCAGGCAAGCACUGUUCCAUCUGUCAGAAUGAUUAAUUUUCUACUAAACCCGCAUGUAGAAAGCUGUUUUAGCUUUAUUAUUACAGAAAAACAUGUUUUGUUUACCUAUGAGAACUUGUUAAUGCAUGUACAAUGAAACGCGAAAAGUACCAGCGGGCCGCUAAAGUUGAAAAACAGACGACAAUUUGUGCUCACUUUGGAAGAGUUUGUCGUCUGUUCUUGCUUUUCUUCACUUGGUUAUGCAUUGUAAGUGAGUAAACUUCACUGGAUGUAAUAUGCGUGAAUGGAAACAUUUUAUGAAGAUUUUAGUUGAAGAACACAUCAUCUGUGUAGCCAUAUCCACAUUUUAGACGAAGCCUCUUACAACACUAGCCAACACAAGCCUCACAGACACAUAUACCAUCAUUCCCAUGAUGACACAGGGGCGCAGCGCCCCUUAGGAAACUCCCAUGGGCGUCUUGCGCUGGAGUUUGAGGUAUAGUAGCGGCGCCUGGUGGCGGCGCGGGAAACGACAUCUGGGUCGUACCAGCUUGGGUCGUAUUGAACCCUGGCUGUGGCGAAGCACGUUUCUAGGCCGAGUUCUGCGUCGAUUCGCACUUUUUUCUGCCCUGUUGCGAGUGCGAAAAGGCUCGUCACUUCUCACAGACCACGCCGACCACACUUCGAGCUCGCCGCAGCCUAUAGUUUAACGAAAACGGACUCUCCGUGUGCCGUGGGACGUAAUGCUGGGAGCAGAAGGAAUCGGUGACGCCGAUCCGGAGAGACCUAGCCCAGCCUCGAAAAGGCGUUACCGUCAUUACUUCUGCGUCGUGGGCUGCCACGAACAAGAAGGCCUGAAUCUCAACAUCAGAUUCUGCCGUUUUCCUUCAAGGCCUCACGAAGUGGAGCGUCGGGCGCGCUGCAUAGCUGCAGUUCGUCGCGCUGAGUAAGCGAAACUUCGCGCCAUGCUGACUGCUUCGACUGUCCUGAAGCUUGCUUGAUUAUCUGCAUUCUAAAGUUCGGUUUUUGCACCUACAGUCCCGACAGCAGACCGACAUAGCAGCAGGCAUGGCUGGUAAUUCACGAUUCGAGACCAGGCCACAGCGACAAUUAACAAUUCGACCGAUGCGAAGUGGUGAAGUGACCAGGUGUGUGCAAAUUAGCACAAAUGGUCGGGCUCAUUCGAUGACAAUUCACUACUCCACUACGAGCAGCACAGGUUAAGAGAGUUAAAUGCGCUCAUCCUUGAUCUCAAGCCAGCACGUUGAGGCAGCGCAGCAAGGCAGUAUUGAUUGCAGCACAUCGAUGUUCGAGCGCUGUCAUUAAAAGCUACAUCAAGCGAGCAGCGCGCAAGCUCGCGCUGCAGCGCGAUUCGCACGUACGUGCGAGUUACUAAAAGGGACAGAUGGCCGCUACUACAACGCAGGCAUAACUACUUGUUUAGCGGCAUGCAGUCAACAAAGAUCGCAGGAGGCCCGCCGUUUCGCGGCAUGUCGAAAGACCGCUGCUGUCGCGGCGCGUACGUACGAUCGUGCGCUCGAGCAGUUCGUACAUCCCGGCGCGUACCGUCGUGUGCUCGAGCAGUUCCGUACACAUGAUGCCUGCUUAUCGCUGCUGUGGAUUCAUUUAUAGCAAGCAUUUCCUCGCGUUUGUGCGCCUGAAUCUAGCAGCUAGCGUGCAAACCUUGCCUGAAGUUCCACUUCGUACGCGACUCGCUUCACUUGCGUUUGACACGGUGCUAAAACUUCGCCGCCUAAUUCUUGAACGGCGUACACGUAUUCGGCACUGCAUAAUUUGUUGCCUUUACGCAGCGUGCCACCCCUGAAAAAAAAUCUUCGGCGCCCGAUAUUCGCUGCAGGCCAUGAAACAACACAACCGAAAGUGGCGGGUCCAUAUUGUAAACGUGCUUUCCGAAGCAGACGACCGAGCUUGGUACGACCCAUUUUAGCACAGAGAGCGCUUUUUAGCACCUUUUUCGCAGCGCCCCCUGGGCAAUGCAAGAGCCCCAUAGACGGUGGCGCCAGAUUUCCCUCUAGGUAUUAUAGUGAGAAACUCGUAUGUGUAUGACUGUUCCGCCAUUAAGGUCUGUGUGCCAUAAUAACGAGUUUGGCGUAGUUCAGGAUGAAAUUCUGUCAGGCCUAGUAGUAUGUGCUCAUUCUCUGAUGCGUUGGUGGUGCGUCAUGCAUUCGUACUUACUACUGGUGAUGUGGCCUUGGUGGGAGAGGUCAUCGUCAACCUACAACGCACACUUCACGCGUUCGGCACGGCAGCUGUGUCAUGGUGCCCUCAGUAAACUGAAACUUACUCCCUCGCCUGUUAUCAGCUGCUUUGCUGUGUUGCAUUUAUCUGUGUGUGCUCAUAACACAGCGGACUUCUAGCUCAACCAUUUUACUAGCUGCAGGACUUUAGUACGAAAGUGAAAUUGCUCGAUUAGCUAUUAGCAUUCCACGUGACUCUAUUGCCGUGAAUCUCUUUGUGCCUUUGUGUGGCUCGCUUUACCGCUCCGGACGAGCCGUAUUUUUUAGAGUGAGCUGGUUUACUCAGUAUGGCUGCGGAUGGUAGUAAUUUGUUCGUGAGUGGUCGCGUGCGUCAGUUUUCUUCAUCAAGAAGAAUAGCAAUGGUGCGCGCCGGUACUCCGGAACCGUUUCUGAUGCGUAGGAAUAGUGUCCAGCCGAUAACUAUUCAAAAUUAUUGUUGACUGGUACAACAUCAGCUACAAAGCUCUUGACCAUUACCACCAGUGCACAUUAUUAGAUUCGUCGGACGGUCCUACCGCUGUCGACCAGAUGUAGGAGUCAUCGGACUAUCUCGCCGCUGCCACCAUUUGAAGGAGAUGAAGGUCGUAGACAGGAACUCGGUGAACAGGAUUUAUUUACAUAUUAACAGUUUAAGCAGGAUACAUUGGCAGACUAGCGCAACUCCCAUAUGGAGCCCACAAAACUAACAUACAGCAAACAGUUUACGAGCACACAGCUCACUAGUACAUUUCUAGUAUGACAGAGCACUCAGCUCCCGACACGAGCACGACACGAGCACACACUAGCAGCCGGCAAACGCUGCUUAUAAGCCCUUGCUCGACGUCAUAGUUCGACGUCAUUCAAGAUGACCCGCCUUUUUGGAAGAUGAGGUGUGUCGACUUGGAGGAUGAGGGCUCACAUACACGUGCCGCACAUACACACAGGUGAAAAGGCCGGACAGUUCUCGGUACUGCCCAGCUUUCAGUGCCGACGUCAGAGGGCUUCGUAGAACUGCUUUGUCCCGGGUGGCUCGGCCAAGUACCAAUUUCCUGAGUUGAUCGCGCGCCACGUGGCUGCCGGCCCUUCGCAGUUCUCCGAAGGGCGCCCUGUCUGGUGGGCUUGGAACACGUGCAGCGGGCUGAAAGCUGGCACGUUGCCACCCCGUACGGCCAUUCUUAACAACAUAGAAAGGAACUUAAUGUGAUGGUUUGAAGCAGUGAUAUGACUGGCCCAUUGCGCAUGUCCACGUUUUGUCUCGAUUGUGCGUGCUGUUACCGGCAAGCUAAAUCUGCCGCUAAGUAGGUUGGUUGAGCUUACCAUUGAGGUGAAUAUGCGAGAAGGUAAAUACGUCAUUGCGGCCUCCAUAAUGAAGUACAAAAAAGAUAAUGACAAAAAUGCGUAUGCCGCACAUACAGGGCACACUUAUCAAUUUAAUUAUUUAAUGGAGCAAAGAACAUAAGUACACACAACAGGACGUUCCAUCCGUGUGUUCUCUGAAGUUCAACUUCAUUAUCGAGGCCACAAUGACAUACCUACAUUCUCCUGGCAUCGUCGCCUCAAUGGUAAACCCAAGCUACUUAGCGGUAGAUUUAGCUUGCCAGUAACAGUACACUCAAUUAAAUUGAGACUAAACAUGGACAUGCGCAAGGGGCCAGACAUAUCACUGCUUAAAAUCUUUACAUUAUUAGGCUCCUUUCUAUGCACUGGUGGGAAUGGCCAAGAGCUUUGUAGCUGAUUUUGUAGCAGUCAACAAUAAUUUUGAAUGGUUAUCGGCCAGACACUAUUCCUACACAUCAGAAAUGGUUCCAGAGUACCGGCACGCACCAUUGCUAUUCUUCUCAAAGAUAACCGACGGCUGCAACCACUCAAAAACAAAUUACUACCAUCCACGGCCACACUGAGAAAACCAGCGCACUCAAAAAAAUACAGCUCGUCCGGAGCAGUAAAGUGAGCCACAUAAAGGCACAAAGAGAUUCACGGCAAUAGAGUGACGUGGAAUGCUAAUAGCCCAUUCAGCUAUUUCUCUUUCACACUAAAGUCGUUCAGCUAGUAAAAUGGCCGAGCUACAAGUCCGCUGCGUUAUGAGUACACACAGAUAAAUGUGACACAGCAAAGCAGCUGAUAACAAGCCAGGAAGUUUCGUUUGCUGAGUGCACCAUGAUACAGCUGCCGUGCCAAACGUGCGAUGAGUGCAUACUGGGUUAAUGAACACCUCUCCCACCAAGGCCACAACGCCAGUACGAAGUAUGAAUGCAUAACGCACCACCAAUGAAUCAUGGACUGAGCACGCACAGCCCAUUACUAUGGCGAACAUAGCAUGAUGGCAGAGCGCUCACAUGCUCGAUAUGGAGGUUUCUGAAAGCGUGUGAAGGACAUAUUGUAAAAUGUUUUUUCGGCGUGGUAUAGGUGACAAAUCUGAGCUCAAGCAACAUAAGGAACAAACUACAUUGUCUGCAGGUGCAUCAGCCUGUGGAACUGCCUAAGCCAGCUCCCUGAAUCAUGAAGUGACCAAUGUGAUAACAUAAUCACAAAGCAAAUCUUUAGACGGUGCAUUAGAAAUGUUUUGCUUAUGUAGUGAUGUUAUUGAUCUGAUUUAUCAAAAAUUCUUGGAAACCUUUGGCCGCUUGAGCGCUUCAUUUGUGUGAUUAAUCACCCUUAAUGUUAAGCGUGGCUUUAACAUGUGUUGUCACCUUUGUGGCCUUGCCAGUAUUUCAUUGGUGCUAUGGUGGGUUGUAAGAAAUGGGCCAUAGGCAUUGGUUCUGUCGGUGCAGCCAAACUUUUCAAUACUGCGAGGAUUAGGAGCAUUGCCACUGUUUUGUACAUUUAGCCUGUCAGGAGUCACUCAAUUUCUUUUUAAUUAAUGCUAUAGUGGAAGGGUGUAUUGUGUUCCUAAAUUCAUGUGUGUGCCAAACAUCCAUGGAAGAAAAACUUUUGUGAUAGUAUUGCUGAAGUCUGAUAUUAUUCCAUUCACAAAUCUCGAACAAUGUUGACAAGGAAAAUGAUCUUGGGUCUUGCCAGACCAUCGCAUAUGUGCAGUGUAUGCCGUUUCUAGCCAGAUCACUGAAUCUCAGCAUCAUUUCGUUGGACAGUUGAUCUGGAAGGAAACCGAAAUUGGAUUGCUAUGUUAUGACUGAAUUUUACCGUCAAGAGACUACUUAAAAUGUCACCUUUGUGCUAGUGCUUCCCCUGGCAAUGGUGUUCCCACUGUAAAUUGACAGGUUUGUAGGUCUUGCUGUCAUUUUUGCAAGUACUCCCUAGCCCAAUGAACAAGUGGUACUUUUCGAUGGAUUUUUAAGGUGCUGAUGCUUGCAAUGAAUGUUAAAUAUGCCUGACCAGAAGUGCUGCCACUUGAAGAUCUUGAAUGGUUUGUACAUUCGUUAGCUUGGGGCCUUAAAGGGAAGCUGAAACGGUUUUCAAUUUCCAUGAAUUGCUGGGAUUGGGAAGAACAGACCUAAUAAUUUACGGCUCCGUAAUUUUUUUCUUCGUUUUAUUGAUAUAAGGGGCGGAAAUCGCUUUCUAAAUCACCCCCGCAGACACGCCCCCAUCGCUUCCCGGAGCGCCGGGUGAGGUGGUUGCCAGAGGAGAGAACCGGCGAGAGUGACGUCACUGGCGGGGACCGAGCUGCCGGACCGGCGUGCUGGCAUGUGCUGGCAUGCCUCUUUCCGUCCUACGCUUUACUGAACGACGCUAUGAGAGAUCUGCCGCCGCCGCCGCUCACGUUUGUUUUUUUUUUUUGCGAUUUUCGUAAACUGUUCUUUCCUUCUGUGCUGCGUGAGUGCCUACAGCCAAGGCCGCCCAACAUGCCCUCGUUCUGUGCAGCAUUCGGCUGCGCGAACACAGGCGGGCGAGACGAUGUGGUGUUUCACAGGUUCCCGAAGGACAAGAAGCUUGCAGCGCAGUGGGUCCGUGCGGUGAGGAGAGAUAAGUUUGUGCCGAUGAAAUCAACUGUGCUGUGCUCUUCAUCUUCCAUCAAUACGCAGCACAUGCAGGUGCACCUAGUUUAAUGAAAGCCUGAUUAGACCCACAUUGAUGCACUCGAGAAAUGCAAACAUUCGCAGCCAUUAACGUCUGGUAACACAGUUUUAGCGUAGCCGGAUAGCCUUACGACAAAUGCGGAAACGCGUUGUUGCUAGCGUUGCUAUACUCCGUUUCAUACAUCAGGUGCAACGCUGUGGAGGCUUGAGAUACUUCUUGCAGUGGCUGCGUUCGCACUUUGAAAAAGUUCGGUGUUGCUUGACCCGAUUUUUGAGAAAAUUUUCCAUAUAUAAGCUCAGUUCUGAAUGAAAAAAGGAAAGAAUUUACCCAUAGAAACAAUCCGUGUACUUAUACGGCUGCUAACACAUUCUUUUAAAUAAAUUUUCUUUUCGGUAUUUUUUAAUUGCGGCCCGUCGCGGCAGCUUCACGUGCAUGCUCGCGCGAGCAAAUGCCGCUGGCACGCUGCGAAGCAUAGACGGAAACGCGCGCAGUAAUAAAUUUUGGUGACCGGACUUCGUGCGUAGCUUCCACAGCGUUGUACCUGAGGUAUGGCAUGGAGUAUAGGCUUGCCUAGGGACAUUCCACGUACGGCUGCAGUUAUCGUGUUUACCACACGGUGGUGCUAAAACUGCCUAAUAUCUUUAUGUCAACACUAGCAUGGAGCACGCAUACCGAUUCUUGAUCGAGCCACAAUCGCAAAGUUGUCGAACCAUAGUAUGAAUAUUGCACAUAUAAUACCUCUGGCCAUCUCUGGAUUUGUAUGAUAAGCAACUUCCAUGACUGUACCCCGCAGCACUGCAUGUGCGCGCUUUGAAACGCGGCACUUAUGUUCGCGAUUGUGUAUCAACACUCAAAAAACCACGGUACUACUUUAGACAAGCAGGUGCUUGUCGUCGCGGAAUUGCACCCGUGUUUACAAUCUAAUGAGAAGUUAGUGCUUCGGCAUUCUUCCAGCAGCAAGUUCCCAGUGACACUUUAGCGCAUUUUUUCUCCCGGCAUUGGAACCUGCAGCUACAUGAAAAAAAAAAAAAAAAGAAAACGAAAAGAAACAUAAGUACCAGCUAAGAUUUCCAACGCGCGAGAAGGUGCACACAUCGCUCUCGCUGUUGGCACACUCUACAUCGUCGUUGCCGCCAUCGUUUUCCGUAUCGGCUGUCGGUUCGAACAUGUACGGCGAAAAUACAAGCUGUCCAAGACAGCGAGGACGUUCCAUAAUGCUUAAAACUCAGCUAUGAAGCCAGAACAGAACAGCGUGCUACGCUCUGAAACAGCGGUGCCGACCGGCGACUGCCGCCAAUGACGUCACAGCGGCCCUGACCAAUCACGAGCAACAGCGGCGUUCGCGCGAUGCCCUGAGGCGCUGGUGCGCGUUUUCUUGGAAAAACAGCCGCUUGCGUUUGUUUCCGCCCUUUUUGAACCAGAUAUUCGUGUUCAGGGGACUCAAAACUGUAGAAUGCUGCAGAGAACUCUUUUAGAAAAGUGUUUCAGCUUCCCUUUAAGUGACCUGUCACUCAACAAAUUGCUUUACUAAAAUAUAGGGCUAUGGUACACAAAUAUUGACUCGAAGGUAUCGUACCUUGCUCAUCAAGUUUGUUUAGUCUGUUGGGAAAACAUUUUUAGGACAGCUACACCUCUCGCAAAAUUUCUUAUGGCCAUUUUUAAAACUGCUAUGAGACGUUUUGCAAGACAUUUCAUAGCAGUUUCCAAAACAGCUACGAAACAUCUAGCUGUUUUUAAAAUGGCUACAAGAUGUCUUGCAAAACGUCUUAUAUCCCUUAUUUGGUGGUGCAUUAGACAGUCUUCACGAUGGCUACAAGACAUUUUAAGACAUCUGACAAAGUUUUGGUAAAAUGUCUUCAAGUCUUAAAUAUCUUGCCAAGACGUCUUGUAGACGGCUAAUAGACCAAUGUGUGUUCAGUGAGUGUGGUGUUGUCGGAAGCACAGCGCACCCUUUUAAUAGACAAUAACCAAAACACGCCACCGUUCCUUGUUACAGACUGCGAUCGUAUACAUUUUCCGGCUGCUAGAUCCUAUAUAAACAAGAAAAGGCACGAGGCACGUGAUCGAGAACAGUAUAUAGUCACCCGUCUCACGUGAGAACGAUGGCGCGCAGUUUAUUCUGGUACGAGCAAAUCUCCGCCCAGGUCGUCGCAAACCACAUUCACAGCUAUUGCCGCCAAACCUAUUGCGACAAGCAUCUUCACCUAUUUGUUAUAACAGCGCGAGUAGUAGUGCCAUUGGUAGUGUACUGGACACUUUUAGUAGGCGACAAUCCAAACACGCUGGGCAUCACGUUUCGCUUUGGCGGCAUCCGGCAUCAUCCACCAGCUCAAUUUUGUUUCGGUUUCCCAUCGCCCCCUUAAAACACCACGCAAUUGGAAAACAAAUGCGUUUCGGGCCGCCGGAGCCCUGCCAGCUCGGUGUGUGUUGAUGUCUCGUGCUGCAGCGAUCUCUGCGACACUUAGCUUUAUGUAGAUGUUAAUAAUAGUUGAGUGCCAUUUGCUAGUCACUUCGGAUUGUACGUCUUUCCCAGCUUUUCAGAAACGUAUGAAAGGUUAUACUGUAUAUCACUGUCACUCGGAAUUGUCGUUCAUGCAAACUGCUAUUAUAUUUAUACUCAAAGAGCACCACCAUAGACUUAUCUGAAAUGGGGGCCCAGUUAUCAAAUGACAACUUAAGAACUUGAAUAAAGUUCUUAAGUUUUCAGGCGUUCAAGACAAGGACCGCAGACAACAGAAUUGACGGAAUCAAUAUAUUGUUGCCUUUACUUUUUUUGGAAAAGUAAAAAAAAAAAAGUAUGUGCAGCAAAUGGUUUUACGAAGGAAUUGAUGUUCGGUCAGUUUGUUUAAAUACAUACAAGAUUGUGAAAACCCAAACUAAGCAACCACUGGAAUGUCUUGAACAGCACACUAGAAAAACAUUGCAACAUUUUUUAUUCAUGCAGAACAAUCAGUUACAAAAGUGAUGGCUAGAGCUUCAUAACAAAACACUUGCCGAGCCUCGUUAAAAAGGACCUCUGAUUAAAAAAAAAAAACAA